rnacentral:piRNA from 1 species
UACCCACGGGGCCAGCGGGAGGUGGGCAGA